rnacentral:rRNA from 1 species
AUCAACGCUGGCGGCGUGCCUAACACAUGCAAGUCGAACGAGAAAGUCCCCGCAAGGGGAUGAGUAAAGUGGCGACCGGGUGAGUAACACGUGACUAACCUACCCUGAAGCGGGGAAUAACCUCGGGAAACCGGGGCUAAUACCGCAUACCUUCCAGAGGGGAAGCUCCUUUGGAGGAAACGAGCAAUUGGCUUUAGGAGGGGGUCGCGCCCGAUUACGGUAGUUGGCGGGGUAACGGCCCACCAAGCCUUUGAUCGGUAGCCGGCCUGAGAGGGCGCACGGCCACACUGGAACUGAAACACGGUCCAGACUCCUACGGGAGGCAGCAGUGGGGAAUUUUGCGCAAUGGGGGAAACCCUGACGCAGCAACGCCGCGUGGAGGAUGAAGUCCCUUGGGACGUAAACUCCUUUCGACCGGGACGAUAAUGACGGUACCGGUGGAAGAAGCCCCGGCUAACUCCGU